UCCAUGGGUAGUGUUAUGAGCCUGGUGAUAGUUUGACAAGGCUUUGGUGGAGGUUGUUGUGUUAGUAUUUCCAUGGGUAGUGUUAUGAGCCUGGUGAUAGUUUGACAAGGCUUUGGUGGAGGUUGUUGUGUUAGUAUUUCCAUGGGUAGUGUUAUGAGCCUGGUGAUAGUUUGACAAGGCUUUGGUGGAGGUUGUUGUGUUAGUAUUUCCAUGGGUAGUGUUAUGAGCCUGGUGAUAGUUUGACAAGGCUUUGGUGGAGGUUGUUGUGUUAGUAUUUCCAUGGGUAGUGUUAUGAGCCUGGUGAUAGUUUGACAAGGCUUUGGUGGAGGUUGUUGUGUUAGUAUUUCCAUGGGUAGUGUUAUGAGCCUGGUGAUAGUUUGACAAGGCUUUGGUGGAGGUUGUUGUGUUAGUAUUUCCAUGGGUAGUGUUAUGAGCCUGGUGAUAGUUUGACAAGGCUUUGGUGGAGGUUGUUGUGUUAGUAUUUCCAUGGGUAGUGUUAUGAGCCUGGUGAUAGUUUGACAAGGCUUUGGUGGAGGUUGUUGUGUUAGUAUUUCCAUGGGUAGUGUUAUGAGCCUGGUGAUAGUUUGACAAGGCUUUGGUGGAGGUUGUUGUGUUAGUAUUUCCAUGGGUAGUGUUAUGAGCCUGGUGAUAGUUUGACAAGGCUUUGGUGGAGGUUGUUGUGUUAGUAUUUCCAUGGGUAGUGUUAUGAGCCUGGUGAUAGUUUGACAAGGCUUUGGUGGAGGUUGUUGUGUUAGUAUUUCCAUGGGUAGUGUUAUGAGCCUGGUGAUAGUUUGACAAGGCUUUGGUGGAGGUUGUUGUGUUAGUAUUUCCAUGGGUAGUGUUAUGAGCCUGGUGAUAGUUUGACAAGGCUUUGGUGGAUGUUGUUGUGUUAGUAUUUCCAUGGGUAGUGUUAUGAGCCUGGUGAUAGUUUGACAAGGCUUUGGUGGAGGUUGUUGUGUUAGUAUUUCCAUGGGUAGUGUUAUGAGCCUGGUGAUAGUUUGACAAGGCUUUGGUGGAGGUUGUUGUGUUAGUAUUUCCAUGGGUAGUGUUAUGAGCCUGGUGAUAGUUUGACAAGGCUUUGGUGGAGGUUGUUGUGUUAGUAUUUCCAUGGGUAGUGUUAUGAGCCUGGUGAUAGUUUGACAAGGCUUUGGUGGAGGUUGUUGUGUUAGUAUUGCCAUGGGUAGUGUUAUGAGCCUGGUGAUAGUUUGACAAGGCUUUGGUGGAGGUUGUUGUGUUAGUAUUUCCAUGGGUAGUGUUAUGAGCCUGGUGAUAGUGUGACAAGGCUUUGGUGGAGGUUGUUGUGUUAGUAUUUCCAUGGGUAGUGUUAUGAGCCUGGUGAUAGUUUGACAAGGCUUUGGUGGAGGUUGUUGUGUUAGUAUUUCCAUGGGUAGUGUUAUGAGCCUGGUGAUAGUUUGA